rnacentral:rRNA from 1 species
CUCCGGUUGAUCCUGCCGGACCCGACUGCUAUCGGAUUGAGAUUUAGCCAUGCGAGUCGAACGUUCCCCUGUUGCAGGGAGCGUGGCGUACGGCUCAGUAACACGUAGUCAACCUGCCCUGGAGACAAGGACAACCCCGGGAAACUGGGAUUAAUCCUUGAUGGGUCAUCUCAUCUGGAAGGAGAGAUGGCUUAAAGGGGUACGCGGGCUUCUUCCGCGAAUUCGCUCCAGGAUGGGACUGCGUCCGAUCAGGCUGUUGGCGGGGUAAUGGCCCACCAAACCUGUAACCGGUACGGGCCUUGAGAGAGGUGGCCCGGAGAUGGACACUGAGAGAAGGGUCCGGGUCCUACGGGGCGCAGCAGGCGCGAAACCUUCGCAAUGCGCGAAAGCGUGACGAGGUUAAUCCGAGUGACUCCCGCUGAGGGGGUCUUUUGUCAGCUGUAAAUAGGCAGGCGAAUAAGGGGAGGGCAAGCCUGGUGUCAGCCGCCGCGGUAAUACCAGCUCCUCGAGUGGUCGGGGCGAUUAUUGGGCCUAAAGCAUCCGUAGCCGGUUCCGUAGGUCCUCUGUUAAAUCCAACCGCUCAACGGUUGACCUGCAGAGGAUACCGCGGGACUAGGAGGCGGGAGAGGCGGACGGUACUCCGCGUGUAGGGGUAAAAUCCUUUGAUCCGCGGAAGACCACCAGUGGCGAAGGCGGUCCGCCAGAACGCGCUCGACGGUGAGGGAUGAAAGCUGGGGGAGCGAACCGGAUUAGAUACCCGGGUAGUCCCAGCCGUAAACGAUGCUAGCUAGAUGAUUCAUUCGCAAGUCGCGAAUGAAGUGUCGCAGGGAAGCCGUUAAGCUAGCCGCCUGGGGAGUACGGUCGCAAGACUGAAACUUAAAGGAAUUGGCGGGGGAGCA